rnacentral:rRNA from 1 species
AAUAUUGGACAAUGGGGGCAACCCUGAUCCAGCCAUCCCGCGUGUGCGAUGAAGGCCUUCGGGUUGUAAACCUCUUUCAGCAGGGAAGAAGCGAAAGUGACGGUACCUGCAGCAGAAGCGCCGGCUAACUACGUGCCAGCAGCCGCGGUAAGACGUAGGGCGCAAGCGUUGUCCGGAAUUAUUGGGCGUAAAGAGCUCGUAGGCGGUUUGUCGCGUCUGCUGUGAAAACGCGAGGCUCAACCUCGCGCCUGCAGUGGGUACGGGCAGACUAGAGCGCGGUAGGGGAGACUGGAAUUCCUGGUGUAGCGGUGGAAUGCGCAGAUAUCAGGAGGAACACCGAUGGCGAAGGCAGGUCUCUGGGCCGCAACUGACGCUGAGGAGCGAAAGCAUGGGGAGCGAAC